CGCCCGUAGCUCAGCUGGAUAGAGCGCUGCCCUCCGGAGGCAGAGGUCAGAGGUUCGAAUCCUCUCGGGCGC
rnacentral:tRNA from 1 species